GAUGAACGCUAGCGGCAGGCUUAACACAUGCAAGUCGAGGGGUAUAGUUCUUCGGAAUUAGAGACCGGCGCACGGGUGCGUAACGCGUAUGCAAUCUACCUUUUACAGAGGGAUAGCCCAGAGAAAUUUGGAUUAAUACCUCAUAGUAUUAUUGAAUGGCAUCAUUUAAUAAUUAAAGUCACAACGGUAAAAGAUGAGCAUGCGUCCCAUUAGCUUGUUGGUAAGGUAACGGCUUACCAAGGCAACGAUGGGUAGGGGUCCUGAGAGGGAGAUCCCCCACACUGGUACUGAGACACGGACCAGACUCCUACGGGAGGCAGCAGUGAGGAAUAUUGGUCAAUGGGCGCAAGCCUGAACCAGCCAUGCCGCGUGCAGGAUGACGGUCCUAUGGAUUGUAAACUGCUUUUGCACAGGAAGAAACAACAUUACGUGUAAUGUCUUGACGGUACUGUGAGAAUAAGGAUCGGCUAACUCCGUGC
rnacentral:rRNA from 1 species